AAAAACAGAUAAGGGCAGACGGUGGAUGCCUAGGCUCUCGGAGGCGAUGAAGGACGUGAUA
rnacentral:rRNA from 1 species